GCCCUGCCGUUACCUGGGAGAGCCGGGGAAAGAAUCUCGGAGUCUGAACCUUGAGAAAUUGUGAUGGAGUGGCACCACAGAAGGAUUUAGUCAACAUCUUUCACACAAGCUAUUUUUACCCUGGAUGUGUUCUGCAAUUUGUUUCCCACACAGCAUUGAAACUGGCACAGCUGAGGGGAGCCAGAAGAGCCAGCCCAGCUCCCAGCUCCUCCAGGAACCUCGCGGGACUGGCAAGAAAAGGAAAAAAACCACCCCGAAUGUGUUGGUCCCAGAAGAGUAGUUUUCAGCACGUGACCUGCGGCAGCGCUGCCUGGCCUGUUUCCCAGCCCUCGGUGAAAGGUAAGUGAGAGAGGAAGCUUGUUGUCAGCAGGCACAGGGCCAAGGGAUCAGCCCUGUGACUGGGAGAUGGCUCCAUGGGUGGGAGAAAAAAAUACGAAUGCCAGUAGGGACCCCUCCCACCCAGAAACACGGGUAACCACCUCAUGGAGGUGAGGUUGCUUCAGAGGGGACCACCCUUCGCUUUGCUGUUGGUUUUUUUGUUGUAUGAAUCUGAGAUAAACUCCUGUGUUGGUUUCUUCUUGGCCAACUAGGGGUUGAAAUAAAGGACUGGCAGAGAACCA
rnacentral:lncRNA from 1 species